rnacentral:rRNA from 1 species
GAUGAACGCUAGCGGAAGGCAUAAUACGUGCAAGUCGAACGGAUGUAGCAAUACAUUAGUGGCGCACGGGUGCGUAACGCGUAUGCAACCUACCUUCAUGAGGGGGAUAACUACCCGAAAGGGUGGCUAACACCGCAUAAUACUAUUGAGUGGCAUCCCUUGAUAUUUAAAUCUGCGGAGGAUGAAGAUGGGCAUGCGUCUGAUUAGUUAGUUGUGGUGGUAACGGCGCACAAAGGCGACGAGAAGUAGGGGAACUGAGAGGUUGGUCCCCAACACUGGCACAGAGAGACGGGCCAGACGCCUACGGGAGGCAGCAGUAGGGAAUAUUGGUCAAUGUUGGGUACACUGAACCAGCCAUUCCGCGUGCAGGAAGGAGGGUCUCUGACUUGUAAACUGCUUUAGCAAGGGAAGAAAAAGCUCAUGCGUGAGAAAUUGACGGUACCUUGAGAAUAAGCACCGGCUAACUACGUGCCAGCAGCCGCCGUAAUAC